ACUGAACGCUGGCGGCAUGCCUUACACAUGCAAGUCGAACGGCAGCACGGGUGCUUGCACCUGGUGGCGAGUGGCGAACGGGUGAGUAACAUAUCGGAACGUACCUUAUUGUGGGGGAUAACGCAGCGAAAGCUGUGCUAAUACCGCAUACGCCCUGAGGGGGAAAGCGGGGGACCGUAAGGCCUCGCGCGAUUAGGGCGGCCGAUGUCUGAUUAGCUUGUUGGUGAGGUAAAAGCUCACCAAGACGAUGAUCAGUAGCUGGUCUGAGAGGACGAUCAGCCACACUGGGACUGAGACACGGCCCAGACUCCUACGGGAGGCAGCAGUGGGGAAUUUUGGACAAUGGGGGCAACCCUGAUCCAGCAAUGCCGCGUGAGUGAAGAAGGCCUUCGGGUUGUAAAGCUCUUUUGUCAGGGAAGAAACAGCAGCUCUAACACAGUCUGCGAAUGACGGUACCUGAAGAAUAAGCACCGGCUAACUACGUGCCAGCAGCCGCCGUAA
rnacentral:rRNA from 1 species